rnacentral:lncRNA from 1 species
AAGCAGAAACAGGCAAAAAAAAUUUGCGUUUUAUUUUUCUUGGCAGGGGAAAUUGAGAUUAAUGAAAUUUAAUCGUGCUUUACUGCUCCUUUUAGAUUUCCAACAUUAUCCCAGGGCUUCCCAGCAGCAAAGUAGAUUGCUUCUGUUCUAGAACAAUGGGACAAGGUCACCCUAACCCUCAGAACAUGAGGAAAAUCCCCAAGUCUUCAAAGAGUUGGAAGAUCUCCAUAGACUCAGUUCUUGUCCUAGUUUGUCCUCAUGAUUUGCC